rnacentral:rRNA from 1 species
AUUAAACGCUGGCGGCAUGCCUUACACAUGCAAGUCGAACGGUAGCGCGGGGCAACCUGGCGACGAGUGGCGAACGGGUGAGUAAAGCAUCGGAACGUGCCCUGGAAUGGGGGAUAACGUAGCGAAAGUUACGCUAAUACCGCAUAUUCUGUGAGCAGGAAAGCAGGGGAUCGCAAGACCUUGCGUUCUGGGAGCGGCCGAUGUCGGAUUAGCUAGUUGGUGGGGUAAAGGCCUACCAAGGCGACGAUCCGUAGCGGGUCUGAGAGGAUGAUCCGCCACACUGGGACUGAGACACGGCCCAGACUCCUACGGGAGGCAGCAGUGAGGAAUAUUGGGCAAUGCACGAAAGUGUGACCCAGCAACGCCGCGUGGAGGAUGAAGGUAUUCUAUAUCGUAAACUCCUGUGAGAGCAGACGAAAGACAGAUUAUUAAUUGGAUGACUGUAUGCUCAGAGGAAGCCCCGGCUAACUACGUGCCAGCAGCC